rnacentral:rRNA from 1 species
UACGUAGGGAGCAAGCGUUGUCCGGAAUCAUUGGGCGUAAAGCGCGCGUAGGCGGCCCCGUAAGUCCGCUGUGAAAGUCAAAGGCUCAACCUUUGAAAGCCGGUGGAUACUGUGGGGCUAGAGUCCGGAAGAGGCGAGUGGAAUUCCGGGUGUAGCGGUGGAAUGCGUAGAGAUCCGGAAGAACACCGGUGGCGAAGGCGGCCUGCUGGGCAGUAGCUGACGCUGAUGCGCGACAGCGUGGGGAGCAAACAGG